rnacentral:rRNA from 1 species
UACGUAGGGUGCAAGCGUUGUCCGGAAUUAUUGGGCGUAAAGAGCUCGUAGGCGGUCAGUCGCGUCUGCUGUGAAAACUCGGGGCUCAACCUCGGGCUUGCAGUGGGUACGGGCAGACUAGAGUGCGGUAGGGGAGACUGGAAUUCCUGGUGUAGCGGUGGAAUGCGCAGAUAUCAGGAGGAACACCGAUGGCGAAGGCAGGUCUCUGGGCCGCAACUGACGCUGAGGAGCGAAAGCAUGGGGAGCGAACAGG